UUAUGUCAAAUCUUAAGCUCAUAUGUGUAUUCUAUUAAACUUGCCUGAUUAUCCCCUGUAAAGGCUAAAGAUAGUUCUGUUAUGACUAGGCAAUUGUUAGGCCAUAUUGAAAUGCUGUCUCCUUCCUUCUUGUCAAGCACUUAAGUCGUAUUGUGUCAAAUCUUAAAGCUCAUAUGUGUAUUCUAUUAAACUUGCCUGAUUAUUCCCUGUAAAGGCUAAAGAUAGUUUUGUUAUGACUAGACAAUUGUUAGGCCAUAUUGAAAUGCUGUCUCCUUCCUUCUUCUCAAGCACUUAAGUCGUAUUGUGUCAAAUCUUAAAGCUCAUAUGUGUAUUCUAUUAAACUUGCCUGAUUAUUCCCUGUAAAGCCUGUGGACAGUUCUGUUAGACUAGUUUCUGUUAGGGCUAGACAAUUGUUAGGCCAUAUUGAAAUGCUGUCUCCUUCCUUCUUGUCAAGCACUUAAUCGUAUUGUGUCAAAUCUUAAAGCUCCUAUGUGUAUUCCAUUAAACUUGCCUGAUUAUUCCCUGUAAAGCCUAUGGACAGUUCUGUUAGACUAGUUUCUGUUAGGGCUAGACAAUUGUUAGGCCAUAUCGAAAUCCUGUCUCCUUCCUUCUUGUCAAGCACUUAAGUCGUAUUGUGUCAAAUCCUAAAGGAGUUUAUAAAGUUAGUAUUAAUAAAUCUAAGGUAAUAACUCUGCCAAUAUAGGGAAAGUAAGACCUUAUAUUCUUACAACUAGACUGUAAUACUGACUUCAUUUUAGCAAGAAUUAGUGGUGUCAAAAACCUGAAGCAGUCUAUAAGGUUAGUAUUAAUAAGUCCAGAGUAAUAAGGUCGCUAUUAUAAGACAUGUUUGCUUUUCAUAUCGGCCAUUUCUAAAGGUCAAAUGUGGGGGUCAAUCAGGUUCUAAUAAGCGUUUCUUUAGGUUCACAGUACAGAGGAAGGGUCAGACUACCACCAGGGUCAUAAAACUACCCCUGGAAAUGCCCACAACUUCUACGAAAGCCUUGUCAAAUAUGUGAACUUGGGCAAAGAAAAAUGUUUAGUAAUACAAGACACUUUGCCAUAUCACAUCAGCUAUUUCUAAAGGUCAAAGAGGGGGUCAAUCAGGUUCUAAUAAGCGUUUCUUUAGGUUCACGGUACAGAGGAAGGGUCAGACUACCACCAGGGUCAUAAAACUACCCCCGGAAAUGCCCACAACUCCCACGAAAGCCUUGUCAAAUAUGUGUUCUUGGACGGUGAAAUGUCUCAUAAUACGAUCCUUAACUGUGCCAAUAUAGAGAGUAAGAAGACCUUAUAUUCUGCUAAAACUAGACUGCAAUACUGACUUCAUUUUUAGCCAGAAUUAUCAGUGUCAAAAACCUGAAGGCAUUUAUAGAGUUAGUACUAAUAGGCUUAAGGUAAAACUUGUGUGUCAGUAAAGGAUAUGAACAAUUUUUCAGUGAUAAAAUAUGAAUGAGAAAAAAAGGUUCUAUAAUUUCACCUGGGAGGACGUAAUUAGCAGGACACCUCUCCUCCUGAAAUUGACCUCUCUUUCGGCCACCUCUUUUGAUUCUUUUUUUGUAGGAGCAGCGAGUAGCGGGCUUUUUUUUACUAUUAUUGUUUCCUUUUUUUGUGCCCUUGAGCUGUCUCCUUUGUUGUAAAAAAAAAAAAAAAAAAAUGUUAGGUCAUCCAUAUUGCAAGCUUUCCCUUCCUUGACCUCACUUGACCUCAUAUGCCAAAGCCUCACUGCUCAUAAAAUCGUGACCCUCUUCAUAAACGGCCUAAGUAUUUUUUUUAUAAUUUUCAGCCUUAGUUACAUCUAGGCCUAUAUCACAAGCUCUCCCUUCCUUGACCUUCCUUGACCUCAUAUACCAAAGCCUCACUGCUCAUAAAAUCUUGACCCUCUAUAUGAACUGCCUAUUUUUUUUUUUAUAAUUUCCAGUCUUUGUUACAUCUAGGCCUAUAUCACAAGCUCUCCCUUCCUUGACCUCGCUUGACCUCAUAUACCAAAGCCUCACUGCUCAUAAUAUCUUGACCCUCUUCAUAAACGGCCUAAGUAUUUUUUUUAACAAUUUUCAGCCUUAGUUACAUCUAGGCCUAUAUCACAAGCUCUUCCUUCCUUGACCUUCCUUGACCUCAAAUACCAAAGCCUCACUGCUCAUAAAAUCUUGACCCUCUAUAUGAAAUGCCUAUUUUUUUUUUAACAAUUUCCAGCCUUAGUUACAUCUAGGCCUAUACCACAAGCUCUCCCUUCCUUGACCUCCCUUGACCUCAUCUCCCAAAGGCCUAUACCACUAUGAAGGUUAAGAAGACCAGGACUUAAGUUGUCACAGAGUAUAAUAAUAAUAGCCGUAACACAAGGACUGGGUGGAUGAGUGGGCGGAUGAGUGGAUGAGUGGAGAGGCGGAAGUGCAUGGAUGAGUGACUGGGUUGUGGAUGGGCGUGGGUGGUGAUGGCUGCCCUGCUGGUGGUGGUGGUGGAGGAGAGGUGGAUAAAAGUGUGGAUAUGUGAGGAGAGGAAGGAGUGGAAAGGUCGGUUAUGGGUGGUGGUGGUGGAGGAGAGGUGGAUAAAAGUGUGGAUGUGUGAGGAGAGGAAGGAGUGGAAAGGUCGGUUAUGGGCGGUGGUGGUGGAGGAGAGGUGGAUAAAAGUGUGGAUGUGUGAGGAGAGGAAGGAGCGGAAAGGUUGGUUAUGGAUGUAGGCGGUGGUGGUGGUGGUCAUAUUAGCAAGGUAAGGUCAGGGUAAGGUCAAGGGUAAGGUCAAGGUAAGGUCAAGGGUAAGGUCAAGGUAAGGUCAAGGGUAAGGUCAAGGUAAGGUCAAGGGUAAGGUCAGUGCAUCUACCUCUAUAAAAAUACAAAAAUGACGGCCAUCCACACACACUUGUCUUCCCAGCGUCACUGAAAGGACAUAACCUAAUCAAUGACAUUUUCAAGAUGUUAAAUGCCGAGUCUGUCUGUCUGCUGCUCCAGGGUGUGUGUACAAGGCUCUAUGGGUCGUGUUAAGAGGCUGAGGGAUUGGCUGACUAUAAAAUGUACAGAGAGAGAAAGAGAGAGAGAGACAUUCUAUAAAUACAUAAUCAGUCCCUUCUUUUAACUCCUCUGAACUCCCUCUACCCUUCACUGAUAUAAGGUUUAGAAAGACACAAAACUGGGGCCUUCUUCAACAACCCUGGACUCGCACUCACUUCCCUUAAGAAUACCUAACUUUACCAUUCACUAAGCCCUUCAAUAAACACUAAACCAGCCUUUCAAACACAUCCAAAACCCACCAUUCACUUCCUUAUACAGUGGAGUGAAUGGCUAACUAUCACUAUUUCAUCCACUAACUUAACCAUUCACUAAGCCCUUCAAUAAACACUAAACCAGCCUUUCAAACACAUCCAAAACCCACCAUUCACUUCCUUAUACAGUGGAGUGAAUGGCUAACUAUCUUGCUAACUAUUUCAUCCACUAACUUGACCAUUCACUGAGCUUCUCGUAAACACAAAAAAAAGCCUUUCCGAGCAUAUCCAAAACCCUCAUUCACUCCCUUAUACAGUGGAGUGAAUGGCUAACUAUCUCACUAUUUCAUCCACUAACUUAACCAUUCACUAAGCCCUUCAAUAAACACUAAACCAGCCUUUCAAACACAUCCAAAACCCACCAUUCACUUCCUUAUACAGUGGAGUGAAUGGCUAACUAUCUCACUAUUUCAUCCACUAACUUAACCAUUCACUAAGCUUCUCGUAAACACAAAAAACAGCCUUUCAGAGCAUAUCCAAAACCCUCAUUCACUCCCUUAUACAGUGGAGUGAAUGGCUAACUAUCUCACUAACUAAUUCAUCCACUAACUUAACCAUUCACUAAGCUUCUCGUAAACACAAAAAAAAACAGCCUUUCCGAGCAUAUCCAAAACCCUGUUCACUCUUAUUAACACUGGAAGGGGAUGAGGAAAGGGAGAAGGUGAUGAAGGAGGAGGAGGUGGAGGUGUAGAUAUAUGCAGAAGCUUAGAGAGAGAGGGCUGUGCAAGAUGAGGAGGAUGUGCUGAUCGCAACACCCAUAACCUCAAACAUUUGGAACUUACACACAAACACACACAUUUGACAAGGCUUUCGUAGAGGCUGUGUUAGUGUGUCCAUGGGUAGUUUCAUAAGCCUAUUAAUAGUGUGACAAGGCUUUCUUAAAGGCUGUGUUAGUGUGUCCAUGGGUAGUCUCAUGAGUCUAGUGAUAGUGUGACAAGGCUUUCGUAGAGGCUGUGUUAGUGUGUCCAUGGGUAGUCUCAUGAGCCUAGUGAUAGUGUGACAAGGCUUUCGUAGAGGCUGUGUUAGUGUGUCCAUGGGUAGUCUCAUGAGUCUAGUGAUAGUGUGACAAGGCUUUCGUAGAGGCUGUGUUAGUGUGUCCAUGGGUAGUCUCAUGAGUCUAGUGAUAGUGUGACAAGGCUUUCAGAGAGGCUGUGUUAGUGUGUCCAUGGGUAGUCUCAUGAGUCUAGUGAUAGUGUGACAAGGCUUUCGUAGAGGCUGUGUUAGUGUGUCCAUGGGUAGUCUCAUGAGUCUAGUGAUAGUGUGACAAGGCUUUCGUAGAGGCUGUGUUAGUGUGUCCAUGGGUAGUCUCAUGAGUCUAGUGAUAGUGUGACAAGGCUUUCGUAGAGGCUGUGUUAGUGUGUCCAUGGGUAGUCUCAUAUGCCUACCGAUAAUUUGACAAGCCUUCUGCACCAUGAAUGUGAAAAACCACUCAUUAGAACCAGACUAGCCUCCUCCGUGGCCUUGGGAAACAGAUAUCGUGUGUGCCAAAAGCUGAGACUACAAGGCUUAGAGUGAAGGGCGACUCUGGGCCAGGGACGCACAGAGAGGGUGAUACGGGGGCCUUGGCUAAUGCUAAGAACACACAGGCUUGAGGUAUAAGGAUGUACUGUGGUAAAUAAAUAACAUGGGAGCUUUUUACAAGUCUGAAUAAAUAAAUAAAUAGCAAGUACGUAAUGCGAUGAGGCUUGUGACGGCGACGCUCGGAGAAACGACGAACGUGUGCGGAAAUGAACAAGCGAAUGGGGUUUCUACACGUACACACACACACACACACACACACACACACACA